GCUUAAAUUGUUCAAAAGAUAAAGCUACAUUUGUAGGAGUAAAACAGAAACCGCUCUGUUUAUUACAACCGCUCCUGACAUAACCCCGGUUCUAUGAACAAAGCGCAAUAGUUUUUUCUGAGUACCUCUCGCGACCCCACAUGAGGUCGCAACUCCUAGUUUGAGAAAUACUGCCUUAAGGCCAUUACGACUGGUGUGACUUACAAUAACAAAUCUUUCAGGACAGCGUCUCACCUCCAGAGAGAAAUACCCCUAAUGUCUGAACUGCUUUAGCAACCUCUAUGCCAAGAAGUGUGGGGGUUGUACCAAACCCAUCACCGGUCUGGCAGGAACCAAGUACAUCUCCUUUGAGGAACACCUGUGGCACAGCGAGUCUUUCACCUGCAUGCAGUGUUCCGUGUCUCUAGUGGGCCAUGGCUUCCUCACCCAGCACGACAACAUCCUGUGCACCGACUGCAGCAGAGAGAAGUGACCUUGUAACAAUCCAGCAAAUGGUCAAACCACACUCGAAACAUUACUAUUACAACAUAUUUUGAAACACCACAACAAAUCCCUACCCAGCAAGAAGUGACAGAAGAUGGUCACGAUAUUUUACCUUUUAUUGUUGUAUUGUUGUUGUUUCAUUGCUAGUGUGAUGAUUGUGAGGACAGGAGCCUUUGAUGUCCACCUGUAGCUUCCCUUUUCAAGAGAAGUAAUAGAAUUGUUUGCCAAGUUAAAUCUGUAAUUUACAGAAUAAUUUAACUUGUCAUAAUCUACAUGACAAAGGGGUAUAGUUGACCCCAAUAAUUUUGUCUGCACAUUAGUCUGUCCUGUUUGCAUGUUAUGUGUUCAUCAUUAUUCACAUCAAUAUAAUAGUUGUUUUGUAGUAGUUCAAAUAAGGUGACCAUUUUUUGUUCAACUAAAAAAUGUGACCCUCUUUUAUGAAUGCCUAAAAUGGAAUGUAUCUGUUGUGUUAAAUGAAUGACACUGCUUUGCUUUAAUUAAUAAAACGUUGUAUGGGAUCAUGUCUUUUGUCUCUUGUACUGAAGAUUUUGAGGGCUGUUUCUGGUAAGAAACUUGUAGCAAUGAUGCCAUCCAGAGGAUGUAACCAAUUAUGUCAGGUCACAGACACAAUGCACUAAACUUGCUGUAAAAUAGGCACAGCAUAUACUGUAAACAUGACAUCUUGGAAGAGCACUUGCUUUCCCAUAUUACAGAAAGGCC
rnacentral:lncRNA from 8 species